AUCUUCCGCAAUGGGCGAAAGCCUGACGGAGCAACGCCGCGUGAGCGAAGAAGGCCUUCGGGUUGUAAAGCUCUGUGAUAUUGGACGAACGUUCUUCUUGCGAAUAGUGGGGAGAAAUGACGGUACAGUAAGAGGAAGCCCCGGCUAACUACGUGCCAGCAGCCGCGGUAAUACGUAGGGGGCAAACGUUGUCCGGAAUGACUGGGCGUAAAGGGCGAGUAGGUGGUUUGCCAAGUCAGAAGUGAAAACUCCGGGCUCAACCUGGAGAUUGCUACUGAAACUGGCAGACUUGAGUGCAGGAGAGGGAAGCGGAAUUCCUAGUGUAGCGGUGAAAUGCGUAGAUAUUAGGAGGAACACCAGUGGCGAAGGCGGCUUCCUGGCCUGUAACUGACACUGAGGCGCGAAAGCGUGGGGAGCGAACAGG
rnacentral:rRNA from 1 species